GACGAACGCUGGCGGCGUGCCUAAUACAUGCAAGUCGAGCGAAUUGACGAGAAAAGCUUGCUUUUCUCUGAUGUUAGCGGCGGACGGGUGAGUAACACGUGGGUAACCUACCCUACAGAUUGGGAUAACUUCGGGAAACCGGAGCUAAUACCGGAUAAUACUUUGAACUCAUGUUCGGAAGUUGAAAGAUGGUUUCGGCUAUCGCUGUAGGAUGGACCCGCGGCGCAUUAGCUAGUUGGUGAGGUAACGGCUCACCAAGGCGACGAUGCGUAGCCGACCUGAGAGGGUGAUCGGCCACACUGGGACUGAGACACGGCCCAG
rnacentral:rRNA from 1 species